AACUACCCACUUCUCCCCCCUCUUCUCUUUGGAAGCAAUGACACUCUGUCUGACUCGAUCUCCCUCUCUCUCUCUCUCUCUCUCUCAUCUUUUUCUUCUUCUUCUUCCCCUCCUCGUCUUGGCUCAACCAAGUUCGCUGAAGUUGUGAAACGGAAAAAAAAAAAAAAAAAAAAAAGGGGGUUAUGAUUAUUUCGAACGGAAGACCUGACUGUUAUUUUUUUUUUUUUAUUUCUUCUGCUCCACAUCUCUGAAUACGAUACAAAAAGAAGACAAGCAAAAUCUCACUAUGUUAACAGUUCUAUUUAAUUUUAACAAUAAAACAAACAAAAAAAAACCCCUAAACUACUCCCCCCAACAAACCAACAACUUCUCUCUCUCUCUCUUACCCUUUCUCUCUCGCUCUCUCUUUUAUAUUGUAAUGGUUUGCUUGUUUCAGUCUUGUCCGAAUAAGUUCCACUUUAUCUCGACAGAAGAAGAAGAAAGCAAGUCAAACUAUUGAUCAUAAGAUAUUACAUAUUUCUGAUUAUAUAUACAAAUGAUUAUAUAUAUAUAUAUACAUAUGUAUAAAUAUAUUUAUAUAUGUAUAUAUAUGUUACACAUUAUACAUACAUUGCCAUUUUUAAUUAGGGCAGUUUUUUUUUUCGUUUUUUUUUUUUUUAUUUUUUUUUAUUUUCAAAUUAAUGUUUUUGAAUUCAAAGAACUGGGGGAAAAGUUUGGACUAUACAAAUGGGCCUACAGAACGGUUUUUGGAUUUUUUUUUUUUUUUUUUACAGCUAACGAAUGUAAAAAAAAAAAAAGGAAAAAGAAAGGUAGAAAAAAGAAGAAAAGUAGCCGUUUUUUUUUGAAAGCCAAGAAGAAAUGGUGACGCCAAGUGAGAUACCUCGGAGUUAUUUGGAAAUAAAUCUAAAGAACAAACUGUGUUUAUUGGU
rnacentral:lncRNA from 1 species